rnacentral:rRNA from 1 species
GACGAACGCUGGCGGCGUGCUUAACACAUGCAAGUCGAACGGUGAAGCGCCUUCCUUUUUGGUGGGUGUGGAUGAGUGGCGAACGGGUGAGUAACACGUGAGUAACCUGCCCCCUUCUUCUGGAUAACCGCAUGAAAGUGUGGCUAAUACGGGAUAUUCUGGGUCUGUCGCAUGAUGGGUCUGGGAAAGAUAUUGUUUCGGUGGGGGAUGGGCUCGCGGCCUAUCAGCUUGUUGGUGGGGUGAUGGCCUACCAAGGCGGUGACGGGUAGCCGGCCUGAGAGGGUGGACGGUCACACUGGGACUGAGACACGGCCCAGACUCCUACGGGAGGCAGCAGUGGGGAAUAUUGCACAAUGGGCGCAAGCCUGAUGCAGCGACGCCGCGUGAGGGAUGGAGGCCUUCGAGUUGUGAACCUCUUUCGCCAGUGAAGCAGGCCUGCCUCGUUUGUGGGUGGGUUGACGGUAGCUGGAUAAGAAGCGCCGGCUAACUACGUG